rnacentral:rRNA from 1 species
AUGAAGGUCCUAGGACCAAGCGAUCCGAAGAUCAAAGAAAAAGAAAAGAGAAAAAAGAGAGCCCUAACAACUGCAGCACAACACUCCAUACAAACCACACUAGACAGCGCAGCUCCGACUCCGACGGUGAACUAUGAAGACAAAGCAAGGUUGGCAUCACGGAGGAUCACCGAACAAACCAUCUGUCACGCGUCAUCGUAUACCACCGGCCCCCCACCGUGGCUUCGACUUCACAGCAACGGACAGUCGAGGCACUCCUCCGGACACGCCGGAGAAGAGAGCCGACUACCACGACCAAAGACCAUGCCUCCGACAUUGCUCACCACCGUCAUUGUUGCCACAGAAGUCGCCGUGCACGCCCAAUCGCAGGAAGCACCAAAAGGAUCAAAGUCUUCAAGACGGGCCCUAAAGAGGGGAACGACAUUGGAGACGACGCCACCGUCCAACCCUGCAGGAGGAUCUGGGUUUUCACCCCAAGAACUUGAUCCGAGAGUAGAGGCUAUGAAGAUUCCUAGCGACGCCUCCAAGGAGAAAAGCGACGCCCACAGACGCCGUCGCCGCCGGCCGGCCGGCCAUCACCGGCCAGGCUUUCGCCUAGUGCAGCCACUCCCACGCAGCAGGCCAAGGUCGACCCGUACCUCCAUUGGGGGUGCACCCCCGCACAGCGAGCACGCCACCACUGUGCAGGGCCACCAGCUAUCCUCCUCGACGACGGGACCGCAGAACCAGAUCGGGUUCUGCACCCCGCAUCCAACCGCGGCCAGAGCCUCCAUGCUCCAACCAGCGGCAACCGGGCACCACCAGCAGCCAGUAGUGCCCCUCCCGGGCCGCCGGCCACCGACGACCUGGCAGAUCCAGCCCCGCUGCCCCCUCGCGUCCCAUUCGUGCCUUCCACGGGAGCAAGCCGCCCCCAGUCCGCAAACCCGUGCUCCACCGCGCCCGCUCACCCCAACGGCGCAGCUCCUUCCCUCCACGCCGCGCACCAGCGACCGUGCCAGAUCCGCGCGCGCCCUGCGCGAGCAACCGCGCCGCGACCCGACCUCCGGUCGUCACCCGUGCCCAGGCGCUCCUCAGCCGGCAGAUCGAGGUCGACCUCCGGCCGCUUCUCUGCGCCCGCGCUGGCCCUAG